ACUAAUUCAACUGAAUAAAUCACCUCAACUGAGAGCCUUUUUUACUGCUUUUGCAGUAAAAAAGGCUCUCAGUUGAGGUGAUUUAUUCAG